GAUGAACGCUAGCUACAGGCUUAACACAUGCAAGUCGAGGGACCGGCGCACGGGUGAGUAACACGUAUCCAACUUGCCCUUUACUCGGGGAUAGCCUUUCGAAAGAAAGAUUAAUACCCGACAUAAAGGCGGGGGAUGCGUUCCAUUGGGUUGUUGGUGAGUAAACGGCCCACCAAGCCUUCGAUGGAUUGGGGUUCUGAGAGGAAUGGCCGCCACAUUGGAACUGAGAAACUGUCCAAACUCGUACGGGAAGCAGCCGUUAGGGAUAUUGGUCAAUGGGCGGUAGCCUGAAACAACCAAGUAGCGUGAAGGAUGAAGGCUUAUGGGUCAUGAACUUCUGUUAUAUAAGACUCUGUAUUAUAUGAAUAAGGAUCGGCUAACUCCGUGCCAGCGGCCGCGGUAAUAC
rnacentral:rRNA from 1 species